rnacentral:rRNA from 2 species
GUGGGUAACCUGCCUGUAAGACUGGGAUAACUCCGGGAAACCGGAGCUAAUACCGGAUAGUUCCUUGAACCGCAUGGUUCAAGGAUGAAAGACGGUUUCGGCUGUCACUUACAGAUGGACCCGCGGCGCAUUAGCUAGUUGGUGGGGUAAUGGCUCACCAAGGCGACGAUGCGUAGCCGACCUGAGAGGGUGAUCGGCCACACUGGGACUGAGACACGGCCCAGACUCCUACGGGAGGCAGCAGUAGGGAAUCUUCCGCAAUGGACGAAAGUCUGACGGAGCAACGCCGCGUGAGUGAUGAAGGUUUUCGGAUCGUAAAGCUCUGUUGUUAGGGAAGAACAAGUGCGAGAGUAACUACUCGCACCUUGACGGUACCUAACCAGAAAGCCACGGCUAACUACGUGCCAGCAGCCGCGGUAAUACGUAGGUGGCAAGCGUUGUC